UAUGAAAAGGCAUGGAGGCGGAGCAGCGCUUGACUCAAGGAAACGAAGUGCAGGAGUUACUUUCCAGUAAAGAUAAUGCAUGGAUUUGUCGUACCUGUUGCGCCACAGCAGCGGCAAGGUUUCCCCCCGCGCUGUCACCUGACACAGCCACUCUUUUCAAGUCUAUAGAGUACCGGCCCAACACCUCAGCUGUCAGGAUGUGUUUUGAGGCCUGAAAAACAUCAUUAUACUGAUCUGGGAAACGUCCAUCUGGAGCCAGUCUGUACCUGAACAUACAAAAUAUACAAUUAAGGCCUUUAAUAAAGCAAAGACCAUAUGCAAGAUCUACAAGAUGCACAACAUUGCUUACUCAACAGAUAUUACGACUGCAUCCAGCUCUUCAGCCAUCGCCAUGCACUGAGGGAAAUAUGGUUUCAUCUCUUUGAAGACAGGGAGAGCAAUUAAAGAUGUUAUGCUGCAAUUGUAAUUAAUGAAUGGGACGCCCAAGAAAUACUAAACCUGGUGUCUUUCAUAAUUCAUUUUUUUUUUCUGACCAGAAAGCACUUUCUUAUUUUAUCAGUGACAUGUUUUGUUUUUUCACCCCUAACCCCAACUUUGGAUAGAUAAUUUAUAAUAAAUACAGCAAUAUUCCAUUAAAAAAAGAACUGUCAUGGUGAUUUCAUAAAUCCCCUCAGCAUGACUUGAUUUCAUGGUGUCUUAAAAACGAGAAGUUCCUUUUUCUACCACAUGAGGGUGCUUCGAGACUGCUGAGCAAAUCUCUUUUUCUCGCUCCCUCUGUCUACAACUUCUAAUGCAUUCAACAAAAUGCUUGACUUACAUGUAAUCAUAUGCAGCUUAACAUUAACAAUCUAUCACCUACUUGUGCUACAGAGUGUCCAUCCGCCUCCAUGGAAAUAGACCACGCCUCUUUUUAAACGCUGCUCCUGCCCUUCAGCAGUGGACUCGAAUACUAGCGCUUCCACUCCUCCAAAGGAAGCCUCUGUGAUCCGGACGGUCGGUCUGGACUUGUUACUUUUAACAUCCUCCCAAGACGAAAGAUUCCACUGAAAAUCAGCAAAACCACUGGUUUCAUUCCCCAAGGAAAUGAAUGCAUGCAUUCAGAAUGUAUUAUUCAUUAAGAUAUGUGAUGCACUCCUUGAGGCAUGGCGAUGUGCAUCUGUGCAGACUUCACGCCCAGAUGCAGCUGCACAAAACUAGGGCAGAGAGCACAAUUGCAUGCUUGUGCGUGCGCAUACACAAAAAUGCACACCACUGCAAAUCUUGAGUGUGAGAGGCAUGAACUAACUUGUCCUCCCAUCUUGCUCAUAGAGCAUUUGGAAAAACAAAAAAUUAAACCUUAUUUAAUAAAUGUCC